GACGGGGGGGGCAAGUGUUCUUCGGAAUGACUGGGCGUAAAGGGCACGUAGGCGGUGAAUCGGGUUGAAAGUGAAAGUCGCCAAAAAGUGGCGGAAUGCUCUCGAAACCAAUUCACUUGAGUGAGACAGAGGAGAGUGGAAUUCGUGUGUAGGGGUGAAAUCCGUAAAUAUACGAAGGAACGCCAAAAGCGAAGGCAGCUCUCUGGGUCCCUACCGACGCUGGGGGUGC
rnacentral:rRNA from 1 species